UUCCUGUUCCAUGGCCUAGGAAUGUCGGU
rnacentral:piRNA from 1 species